rnacentral:rRNA from 1 species
CACUGGGCGUAAAGGGUGUCCAGGCGGCCCUGUUAGUCUCUUGUAAAAUCCGUGGGCUCAACCUACGGUCCGCAAGGGAAACGGCAGGGCUCGAGGGCGCGAGAGAUGUAUGGAACUCAUGGUGGAGGGGUGAAAUCCGUUGAUAUCAUGGGGAACACCAAAGGCGAAGGCAGUGCACUGGUACGUUCCUGACGCUCACACACGAAAGCCAGGGUAGCGAACGGGAUUAGAUACCCCGGUAGUCCUGGCCCUCAACGUUGUUCGCUCGUUCCGCGGAGUAUCGACCCUCUGCGGGACUAAGGUAACCCGGUAAGCGAACCGCCUGGGUAGUACGAUCGCAAGAUUAAAACUCAAAGGAAUAGACGGGGACUCGCACAAGCGGUGGAUUAUGUGGCUCAAUUCGAUGAUAAACGAAGAACCUUACCAAGGUUAGAAAUGCAACUGCAUCUCCUCCGAAAGGAGAAGAGCCUUCGAGGGUGUUGCACAGGUGAUGCAUGGUUGUCGUCAGUUCGUGGUUUGAACUGUUCCCUUCAGUGGGGUAACGAACGCAACCCCCGUUGCCUGUUGCCUAUAUGGUCAGGCGAGACUGCUCCCUCACGGGAGAGGAAGGUGGGGAUGACGCCAAAUCAGCAUGUCCCUCUGAUACCUUGGGCCGCACACAUAAUACAAUGGUCGGUACAACGAGAUGCAAUACCGUAAGGUGGAGCAAAUCUUUCAAAACCGUCCUCAGUACGGAUUGAGGUCUGCAAUCGACCUCAUGAAGCUGGAAUCGCUAGUAAUCCCGGGUCAGCUAAACCGGGGUGAAUACGUUCUCGAGUCUUGUACUCACCGCCCGUCAAGUCAGGGGAGCUGGGGGCGCCCGAAGGACUGCCUUGCGCAGUACUACGGCGAAUUCAGUGACAAGGACUAAGUCGUCUUGAUUAGAUA